rnacentral:rRNA from 1 species
UACGUAGGGCGCAAGCGUUGUCCGGAAUUAUUGGGCGUAAAGAGCUCGUAGGCGGUUUGUUGCGUCGGCUGUGAAAUCCCGAGGCUCAACCUCGGGUCUGCAGUCGAUACGAGCAAACUAGAGUGCUGCAGGGGAGACUGGAAUUCCUGGUGUAGCGGUGAAAUGCGCAGAUAUCAGGAGGAACACCGGUGGCGAAGGCGGGUCUCUGGGCAACAACUGACGCUGAGGAGCGAAAGCGUGGGGAGCGAACAGG